GAAUACGCCGCAGGUGACAGUGAUCCUGUCUUCCGUCAUGGCGU
rnacentral:sRNA from 1 species